rnacentral:rRNA from 1 species
UACGUAGGGGGCAAGCGUUGUCCGGAUUUAUUGGGCGUAAAGAGCGUGUAGGCGGCUAGGUAGGUCCGUUGUGAAAACUCGAGGCUCAACCUCGAGACGUCGAUGGAAACCAUCUAGCUAGAGUCCGGAAGAGGAGAGUGGAAUUCCUGGUGUAGCGGUGAAAUGCGCAGAUAUCAGGACGAACACCCGUGGCGAAGGCGGCUCUCUGGUACGUGACUGACGCUGAGACGCGAAAAGCGUGGGGAGCAAACAGG